rnacentral:lncRNA from 1 species
CUGAAGUGCCAGCAGUGAGCACUCCCCUCAGCCCUUUGGCUCAGGUGCCUCAAGAAGAAGAUGAACAGGCAGAGGUUACCACUAUGAUCCUGGAGGAUGAUUCGUGGGUACAGGAAGCAGUGCUGCAGGAGGAUGGCCCCGAGUCUGAGCCCUUUCCCCAGAGUACUGGAAAAGGCAGCCCUCAAGAGGAGGGUACAGCUGAGGGACCUCGGGGUGCGCUUGUCCGAUUUCGGGAGCUCUGUCGGCGCUGGCUGAGGCCAGAGGUGCACACUAAGGAACAGAUGCUGACUGUGCUUCCAAGAGAGAUUCAGGCCUGGCUGCAAGAACAUCGUCCUGAGAGCAGCGAGGAGGCAGUGGCCCUGGUGGAAGACUUGACCCAGACUUUUCCGCACAAUG